CAAAAACAUUGCCGCUCGAAAAAAGAUGAGCGGUACCUCCUGCCCAGUGAAUUUUUCAACGGCCGCGGUAUCCUAACCGUGCAAAGGUAGCAUAAUCACUUGCCCAUUAAUUGUGGGCUAGAAUGAACGGAUAAACGAAAUAGAACCUGUCUCAACUACUAAAAUAAAAAUUAUUAUCUAGAUGAAGAAAUCUAGAUAUAGUCGAAGGACAAGAAGACCCUAUAGAGCUUUAUCUAAAAAAGAAAAACAUCUUAUUAAGAUUCGGUUGGGGCGACCAAGGAAUAACAAUCAUCCUAAUAAAAAAGAUUAAUUAAUCAAUUAAAUGACCCUAAAAUAGGAUCAAAAAAAUUAGCUACCUUAGGGAUAACAGGCUAAUCCCAUUAAAGAGUUCUUAUUAACAAUGGGGGUUGGCACCUCGAUGUUGGCUUAGGAAAUCUGUUUGACGCAGCAGUCAAAAAAAGAUGGUUUGUUCAACCAUUAAUAUCCUACGUGAUCUGA
rnacentral:rRNA from 1 species